rnacentral:rRNA from 1 species
UACGGAGGAUGCAAGCGUUAUCCGGAUUUAUUGGGUUUAAAGGGUGCGCAGGUUGUUUGAUAAGUCAGUGGUGAAAGUCUGUCGCUUAACGGUAGGAUUGCCAUUGAUACUGUUGGACUUGAAUAUGGAUGAGGUAGGCGGAAUGUGUAGUGUAGCGGUGAAAUGCAUAGAUAUUACACAGAACACCGAUUGCGUAGGCAGCUUACUAAUCCAUCAUUGACGCUGAGGCACGAAAGCGUGGGGAUCAAACAGGA